rnacentral:sRNA from 1 species
UAUGGAGAAGCUCAGCAGUGGCUGUCU